rnacentral:rRNA from 1 species
UAGUAACUGCGAGUGAAGCGGGAAAAGCUCAAAUUUAAAAUCCGUCCACCGACGGAGUUGUAAUCUAGAGAAGUGUUUUCGGCCGCAGACCUGGACAAGUCCCUUGGAAUAGGGCGUCAUAGAGGGUGAGAAUCCCGUCCUUGCCAGUCUCCCUGCGUCUAUGUGAUACACUCUCGAAGAGUCGAGUUGUUUGGGAAUGCAGCUCAAAAUGGGUGGUAAAUUCCAUCUAAAGCUAAAUAUUGGCACGAGACCGAUAGCGAACAAGUACCGUGAGGGAAAGAUGAAAAGCACUUUGGAAAGAGAGUUAAACAGUACGUGAAAUUGCUAAAAGGGAAGCGCUUGGAGUCAGUCGCGUCUUCAGAGACUCAGCCUCACGGUGUAUUUCUUUGUCGACGGGCCAACAACAGUUUCGAGCGCGGGAAAAGGACUUGAGGAAUGUGGCAACUCCGGUUGUGUUAUAGCCUCUUGUCGUACACCGCGCCCGGGACUGAGGACCGCGGCCUAGCCUAGGUUGUUGGCGUAAUGGCUCUAAGCGACCCGUCUUGAAACACGGACCAAGGAGUCUAACAUGUCUGCGAGUGUUUGGGUGUUAAACCCAUGCGCGCAAUGAAAGUGAACGUAGGUGGGAGGCUUCGGCCGCACCAUCGACCGAUCCGGAUCUUUAGUGAUGGAUUUGAGUAAGAGCAUAUAUGUUGGGACCCGAAAGAUGGUGAACUAUGCCUGAAUAGGGCGAAGCCAGAGGAAACUCUGGUGGAGGCUCGUAGCGAUUCUGACGUGCAAAUCGAUCGUCAAAUUUGGGUAUAGGGGCGAAAGACUAAUCGAACCAUCUAGUAGCU